GUCCCCGGAUGAUUGAUGUCAGCGGCGGACCAAUGGAAGGACAGGGGCGGGACUGGAGGACCUGGCGGGGCAGUUGGGCCUCCAACCAAUCAGAGUGAAUGAGAGGCGGGACUUGGCUAUACCACGUGAUCAUCCUCGUGGACAGCGCGAUAGUGUAGGCGGAGAGCUGUCGGAUGAGGCUGUCACUGGCUCGGCCAGCAUUUAUUGCUGCGUUUACCCAGAGGGCAGUUAAGAGUCAACUGCGUUGCUAUAGGUCUGGAGUCCCAUGCAGACCAGACCAGAUCCCAGUGAUCAGUGCCAAAGCCCCAUUGCCUGGGGAGAGGGUGAU